rnacentral:rRNA from 2 species
UAUAGCGGAGGAAAAGAACUACAGGAUCCCUCAGUAGCGGCGAGCGAAGCGGGAAGAGCUCAACAUGAAAACCGUGGGGGGUUCGCGCUUUCUCGGGUUGUAUAGUAAAGUGGUGUCGCUGCGUCGCGCCGGGUAUAAAUCCGUCUGAAAUGGGGUGUCGUAGAGGGUUAUAUCCCCGUCUGUGACCCGGUGUGCGAUGCGUUACGGUGACCUUACGAUGAGUCGGGUUGCUUGGGCAUGCAGCCCUAAGUGGGUGGUAAACUUCAUCUAAAGCUAAAUACUAGCGAGAGACCGAUAGCGUACAAGUACCGUAAGGGAAAGAUGCAAAGAACUUUGAAAAGAGAGUUAAACAGGGCUUGAAACCGUUAAGAGUGAAGCGAAGGAGGUCAGUGAUCAUGGGGCCAGAUCCCCAAGUGCCUGUCAUAGGGCACCGUAGCGUUCUGGUUUCCCGGGGCAGCGCCGGCCGGGGGCGGGGGUUAACAGGGAGGUGGUUGAGGGAUUCGUUUUCCGCCUGUACUCCUUUAUAGCUUGCACCCCGGCCGAGGGAUCCGCGACUUGUCGUGUGAGGGCGCUGUCAAAAUGGCCUUCUCCACCCCGUCUUGAAACACGGACCAAGGAGUCUAACAUACUCGCGAGUGUUUGGGUGGUUAAAACCCGAACGCACAAUGAAAGUAAACGGUGGCUCUGCGCCGCUGCUUGGUGGGAACCCUGCUUUUAUAAUGGGGGGCACUAUCACCCGACCCCGAUCCCUUUGGGGUGGUUGGUUUUGAGGUAGAGCGAGUAUGAUGGGACCCGAAAGAUGGUGAACUAUUCCUGAGUAGGGCGAAGCCAGAGGAAACUCUGGUGGAGGCUCGUAGCGAUGCUGACGUGCAAAUCGCUCGUCGAACUUGGGUAUAGGGGCGAAAGACUAAUCGAACCAUCUAGUAGCUGGUUCCCUCCGAAGUUUCCCUCAGGAUAGCGGGAGCAAAUGCAAGUCAGUAUCAUCCGGUAAAGCGAAUGAUUAGAGGCCUCGGGGGAGUAACUCCUUCGACCUAUUCUCAAACUUUAAAUAGGUGAGGAGCCGGCAACGUUGCUUAAAACAAUGAACGCCGUGCGGACAAUGAUUGCUCUCAGUGGGCCGAUUUUGGUAAGCAGAACGCGAUGCGGGAUGAACCGAAAGCGACGCUAAGGUGCCAAACUCCCAGCUCAUUCAGACACCAGAAAAGGUGUUGAUUCAUACAGACAGCAGGACGGUGGCCAUGGAAGUCGGAAUCCGCUAAGGAGUGUGUAACAACUCACCUGCCGAAUGGAUCAGCCCUGAAAAUGGAUGGCGCUUAAGCGGGGGACCGAGGCGUCGCCGUUGGGGUAAAUACGAAGCCCCAAUGAGUAGGAGGGCGUGGGGGUUUUGAAACACGGUACACUCGCAUGGAAGCCUUGGGCGUAAGCUCGGGUGGAGCGACCCCUAGUGUAGAUCUUGGUGGUAGUAGCAAAUAUUCAAGUGAGAACCUUGAAGACUGAAGUGGGGAAGGGUUCCACGCGAACAGUGCUUGGACGUGGGUUAGUCGGUCCUAAGAGAUGGGGAAACUCCGUAUUCAAGUGCGCUUUUGUAGCGCAGUCCAUCGAAAGGGAAGCGGGUUAACAUUCCCGCACCAGGAUGUGGAAACUGUGGUUUACCGCAAACUGCGGCAACGCAACUGAACCUGGGGACGCCCGUAGGAGCUCCGAGCAGGGAUCUCUUUCCUGUUUAACGCGCCCAACCCCCUGGAAUCGGUUUGUCCGGAGAUAGGGGGCGAAAGGCCGGAAAAGCACCGCACGUCUUGUGGUGUUCGGAACGCUUGUAAUGGCCCUUGAAAACCCAGGGGAAAGCAGCCGUCUUACACUUGUGUGAGACGAGGAAUUCUCACACCUGGCCGUACCCAUCACCGCAUCAGGUCCCCAAGGUGAACAGCCUCUAGUCAAUAGAAUAAUGUAGAUAAGGGAAGUCGGCAAAAUAGAUCCGUAACUUUGGGAAAAGGAUUGGCUCUAAUGUUCGGGCUUGUCGGGACGCGCGGGCGUAGAUGCCAAUGAGCGGCAGACGUCUAGCCUCUUUGGAGGCUGGAUAACGCUGCUUAGAAGAAUGU